GAACGCGAAGAACCUUACCAACUCUUGACAUCCCCCUGACCGGUACAGAGAUGUGCCUUCCCCUUCGGGGGCAGGGGUGACAGGUGGUGCAUGGUUGUCGUCAGCUCGUGUCGUGAGAUGUUGGGUUAAGUCCCGCAACGAGCGCAACCCCUAUUGUUAGUUGCCAGCAUUCAGUUGGGCACUCUAAUGAGACUGCCGGUGACAAACCGGAGGAAGGUGGGGAUGACGUCAAAUCAUCAUGCCCCUUAUGACCUGGGCUACACACGUGCUACAAUGGAUGGUACAACGAGCAGCAAGACCGCGAGGUCAAGCGAAUCUCUUAAAGCCAUUCUCAGUUCGGAUUGCAGGCUGCAACUCGCCUGCAUGAAGCCGGAAUCGCUAGUAAUCGCGGAUCAGCACGCCGCGGUGAAUACGUUCCCGGGUCUUGUACACACCG
rnacentral:rRNA from 1 species